rnacentral:lncRNA from 1 species
AGUGAAGAAGGCCAGGAAGAGCAGAGGAUGGUGCCAGGAGGAUGAUGUCGGGGGACACAGGCAGCUCAUGCCUGGAUCAGGCAGUGACUGGUGUGUGUGUGUGUGUUAUGAAGAGAGAGGGAUGGAAAUUGUGACCAGAGAGUUGGAGUUGGGACCCCUGUCUUGAUCACUUGAGCAUCAGCAGCUCCAGGGAAGAACACAUUCUGAAGGAGGAACUCUCCAGCUAGGAUUUCAUCCUGUCCUAGAGGACACGAAGAGGUGGAGACCACCCCCACAACUAAACUUGAGGAUUACUAAGGCAAUGGGGACUGCCUAGGAAUAUUUUUGAGGGGGUAAAAGCACCCCAUAAUUGUGCUAAGUAACAAAAGACAGAACAAGCAGCCUUAAAACAUUCUACAUGAUACACUGGUAUUAGAAUAAUAAGAUCUUAAAGACCAUCCACUUGAAAACUGGAUUUGCCCCUGGUCAUAUGGGCAGACCCAUGGCAGACAAAGAACUAGAAGUUCCUCCUAACUCCCAACUCAAUGUCCUUUCCUUAAAGAAUAACUGUUCUUUAUUAUAAAUAGGCCAAGCUUUUAUUAUUUAGUAUAGAACUCAGGCUGAUAUUUUUAUUGAUGGAUUAAAAUUUGAAUUAUUUCUGUAGCAUAGUAUUUAAAAGUUUUCUUCUACAUAUUUGUUAUCAUUUUCUAGCAAAUAUCCUCAAAAUUGAAAACUGCAACGUCAAUGAAAUCAGUGAGCACACUACCAUCCUUCUAAUGGGAGGUCUAAUUUAUCAUUCAUGCAUAGUAAAAAAAAAAAGCAUAAUAUUUAAAUGUGUACUCUGUGAUUGUUUAUAAAACUAUUUAAGUAUAAAUAUUCCAAACAAAGCACUUAGCUUAUAAAUGAACUUAAAUCCUCAAAGUUAGGAUUUAAGUCACUCGUUUGGAAUUUGUUACAUAUUUUUCCUUUGUAAUAGUUGGUGACCAUAUUCUUAAGGCAGCCCACAAAAGUCUAGUAAAUUCCCUACUGUGGCUCCAGUGUUUACAUUUGUAAUGGAAACGUGUUGAAAAUGAAUACUAAUGUAGUGCUAGUCAUGGAAAGUAUUUAAAACACAAAGUAAAAGGAUUGGACACAUGAGUUUUCAAGUCGCUAGGAAGGGAGAAGGUAAUGGGUUAAUAUUAGGUCAUAGAGUUCUAUGUCUGGAUGCUAGGUGGCGCUAUUGAACCAGAACAGCUCGGUUAUUUGCCAAGUCAAGGGUUUAUAGAGGGAUGCUCAUAUGACUGUUCCUAUUACACAUAUUCACAUGUUCCUUGUCUUUCAUGUGCUUAUUUAUUUUGGCCCUUACCACCACUGAGAUUUUAGCUCCUAAAAAUUAUGACUAGAAAAAUACUGAUGGCUCACAGCAUGUCUUUAAGAGUUAAGGAGAAAAAGUGUUCAGAAAUACAUUAAUAUUCACUGCUCAGAAAUAUGUGAGUCUUGCCCCUUACUUACACAUUUUUGUGGAUGACUAUGGAUCAUUCUCUCAACUUCUCUGGGCUGGCUUCAGUUUCUCAUUUUUACUUUUAUUUUAUUUUUGAAACAAGGUCUUGCUCUGUCACCUAGGCUAGAGUGCAAUGGGUGCGAUCAUCAUAGCUCACUGCAGCCUCGACCUCCCCAAGGCUCAGGUGAUCCUCCCACUUCAGCCUGCCCAGUAGCUGGGACCACAGGCACAUGCCAUCAGGCCUGUUUUUUUUUUUUUUUUUUUUAGAUGGAGUCUCACACUGUCACCUAGGCUGGAGUGCAGUGGUGCAAUCUCUGCUCACUGCAACCUCUGCCUCCCAGGUUCAAGCAAUUCUCCUGUCUCAGCCUCCAGAGUAGCUGGGAUUACAGGCACCUGCCACCAUGCCCAGUUGAUUUUUUGUAUUUUUAGUAGAGAUGGGGUUUCACUAUGUUGGCCAGGCUGGUCUUGAACUCCUGACCUCGUGAUCCACCCACCUUGGCCUCCCAAAGUGCUGGGAUUACAGGUGUGAGCCACCACGCCUGGACUUUUUUUUUUGUAUUUUUAGUAGAGACGAGCUUUUGCUAUGUUGCUCAGGCUAGUCUCAAACUCCUAGCCUCAAGUGAUCUGUCUGCCUUGGCUUCCCAAAAUGGUAGGAUUACAGGUGCAAGUCACUAUACCUGGCCUCAGUUUCUCAUUUUUAAAAGGUGAUAAGUAAUAAACAAACAUAAUAAGGAUUAAUCAAUAAAAAAUAAUUAUGUAUAAGAUGACAUAUGUGAUCAUAUGUAAUAAUUAUGUAUAUGUUCAACCAGUGAGGUUGCUUCUACCGAGUAAACCUGCUGGGGCCUUGGUGCUCCCUAAUUCAAACUCAUGGUCAGGAUUGAGCAGUGUUUUCUGAAUGCCCACUCCACAGUACUUGUCCUAAUAUCAGCAGCUGCGCACCGGCUGGAAGAAAUACCAAGCAUAUUCUCUUGGUUAUCCAUCUUGCUAAAACUCUAAUUUUUAUUUCAUCUCAAGUACUUACUAUCCUAAGCUUCUGAGAUACUCUAUUCUGUCUCCAUAAAAUGCAAAUAUUAACAUAAAAUGACUGUUUAAAAAAAGUUCUAAAGGCUAAGUUUCUCCAAUAUUUUUGGUAGGAGACAAAUUUACUUGAUGUCAGCAUAUAUUUCUACAAGAAAGGAACAGAAGAAAAGACAGUUACGCUGUUAUUGAGAAAGGUUAUUAACCUGUCUAAAUGGUGAGUUAUUGGGACAGGUAGUAUUGAUUUGAAAGAAUCAAUGAAUAUCAUUUCAAUCUGAAAUAAGUGACAACCCAUAUGACUAACAGACAUUACGAUUUUUACUAGCUCUCCAAAGAGUCAUUGCUAUUAGUGUUUUUUCUUCUGUAAUGAGACUGGUAUACAUAUUUUUAGUAUUGCUAGAGAGGAGUUACCAGAAGUCAGCAAACUCCUAUUUUUUUUUUUGUUUUUGUUUUUCAAUAACAGGACAAACACCAAAGAAAAAUGGCCAGUGGUGUUUUUGCAUCUUAAUUCAGCUCUUCAGAUGGUUAGUUAAUCUACAAUGAGUUAAGGGUCACUAGAUCCCUUAAAUCAGUAUCUUAGAUUUUAGCUUUUCUUCUCUCUGUUCUCUAAUCUACUCAGUUAUCAAACUCUUCAAUAAAGGGAAAGAGUAAUGAUUUUAGUAUGCCCUAAGACAUGAACUUAGACUAAAAAUACAAAGAUGAGAUGGUGAAGUAACUAGAAACUUGCAGCUAUUCUUUCUUUAACCUACUUGACACCAACUCAGUUGUGGUGAUGAGAAAACAAUAUGGGUGCUAAGUCUUCCCUGAGGCUAAAAUAUAUUGAGAAACUGGCCAGGAGUGUGUGUUGAUCUCUUGUCCUCUGCCUCAGGGGACACGGAAACUUGUUGGGAUAGAGGAACUGUGGACUAGCUUGGUCUUCAAUGUUACCAUAGAAACAUAUCACAAGAAGAUGCCCAAGAGAACACAAAACACAGUAGAAGUUACUGAAGCAACAACUCAAAGGUUCAUUUUAUUGGGCAUAUAAUGUGUGGCAGCUGAGAGAGUUAUGCUAGGGUGAUAUUUAAAGUAUUUGACAACCAGCUCCACUCAAGAACUGAACUCAGAACAGUCACUGAGUGUGACACUGGCCCGGGGUCCUGAAGAUCCCUCUUGUGCCAUGAAUUAGUCCUUCCGUUACAUCACUGUUGGAAAAGGCGGGGGUAACAAGGACGGGCAGCCAGGCUGGCAGGUGCACCCUGAAGGCCGUAUAGAAGUGUUUCACUGUUUUAACCGCUAGUCCAGCUGGACCACGUGGACUGGCCAAGUGGCCUGGCUUAUGGAAACCUUUCAUCCCACUACACAGGAAAACCAGAUGUCCUUUAUUCUCUUUGAGAUAUUUACUAUGCCAAACUCUGAGGGAAAAAUAAUCUUUAAUUUAUAGGUGGAAAGAUCAUGGCUGAAGGUAAAAGAGUUAAUAGUAACUUGGUUUUCAGAAAUCUUUUCUCCUUGAAUUAACGAACUUUCAGAUCACGGAAUAAAGGCCCAUAAUUUCUGAGAAGACACAUAUUUAAAUGGAGAAAAUAGGAAGUCAAUAUGAUAUACCACGACAAGAGCCACUAAGUGGGUCCUCUGGGCUAAGCUUUUUAUAGGUGGUUUAUCUGUAUUCAAAAGCAUGAAGAUAAAAAUACCCUCAUCUAGGUUCUCAGGUCCACAACCCCUGUGCUGGGUUUUGCAUCCUGUGAAUGGUGUGUGUUCCAGACCUCAGGAUGGAUGGUGAUGUAACUGGAAGAGGACUCUCACGUUGGCUCCUCCUCCCAAAUGCUGGGACAAGAGAGUGCUCAUUAAAAUAAACAAUAUUAAUAAAAUAAAAACACAUACAUUUAUUUCGUACACUGGCUCUGAGGGUCAGAAAUUCAGGGGUAGCUUAGUUGGGUGGUCCUGGCUUGGGAUCUCUCAUGAGACAGCCAUUAACAUGUUGGUUGGGGCUGCAGUUAUCUGAAGGCUUGACUGGGGUCAUAGUAGCUGCUCCCAAGAUGGCUCACACACGUGGCUCUUGGUCUGAGGUCUCAGUUCCUCACUAUGUGAACCUCUCUUCAUCCAUAGCAGCUGAUCUCUCUCAGAGCAAAUGACUGAGCAGACAGUAACAAAGUUGGAAGCCAUAAUAUCUUUUAUGGAGAGUGUUCAUCUUAUGUGUCACCAGGAUUUAGUUUGCCCUUUAUCUCAGACUGUGUAUUAGACACACACACACCACACACCACACCACACCACACACACACACACACACACACACACACACACACACACACACACACACCAUAGAACAAGAUAAAGCCAAAAGGAGAAAAUGAUUAACAUAAACCUUUCUUCUUCAAAGGAGUCUAAUUUAGGAUAAGACCUCUCCUUGCACAAAGAACGGAGUUUAUGUUGUCUUCUAGAAAUAAAAAUCAGUCACAUCAAACUCUUUACAUUAAAAUUCUAUAAACUCUUUAAAUGGCUUGUUGUUGAAAAGACAAAGGAAAUCCUAGUUUCACAACCCCACUCAGGUAAAUGGGAUUUGAACUCUAAUGAGAGCUGGGAGGCUAAGGCAGCCUCCACCAACUAUCCACCUUCCUUCAGCAAGUCCCUGAUGGUGGUAGGGCCACCUUGACCUUGUGCAACGGGAUCCAGGGCUCUCUGGGCAAAGACCAGUUUCCCUGGGCCUUGGGACCUACCAGUGAUGCAGGUGGGGUUCGGGAACCCUGUGGAAUGUGAGGCAGCAGACUGCAUUUGGGGAGCUUUCAUCUGCUGCUUCCUUCUUUCUUUCUUUCUUUUUUUUGAGAUGAAGUUUCGCUCUUGUCGCCUAGGCUGGAGUGCAGUGGCGCGAUCUUGGCUCACUGCAACCUCCACCUCCCAGGUUCAAGCGAUUCUCCUGCCUCAGCCUCCCGAGUAGCUGGAAUUACAGGCUCCCACCAACACACCUGGCUAAUUGUUGUAUUUUUAGUAGAGACAGGGUUUCUCCGUGUUGGCCAGGCUGGUCUCGAACUCCUGACGUCAGGUGAUCCACCUGCCUCGGCCUCCCAAAAUGCUGGGAUUAUAGGCAUGAGCCACCGCACCGGGCCUAUCUGCUGCUUAUUUCUACAGGGCAGAAUGCCUUCUUCCAUCUCAGGACAACAAAACAGAACAAUAAACAGAUCACUGAAUGUGUAUUCAAGGCUUGUUGUCACAGCAGUAGAUUAAGGAGAAUAGGAAAAAACAAACAACGUUGUUUGUCUUUCUCUUUGGAUAAAAUGACAAUGAAAAAAUAAAUGAUGGAUUUCUGAAAGUAAUUAUACUUACGAUGAUACCACAGGCAGCCCUUGUAAUUGCUUUGCCACAUUCUAUUUCUUGCUGCUAUUUGGGGACCACUCGGUUUGUUAGGAUAAAAUCAUAAUUGUAUUUUCAAUUUGCUGCUCUAUCUAUUCCACUGUCAGGAUUUGAUACACUAGAGUGCUUUUAUCAAAUGGAAGUUGGGCCAGAGAGAAUUCAUCACAAGGAUGGCUCUUUCAUACUCACGCAUGUUUCCAUCAAUGGAGUCCAGGUGCACACACACGGAUUCAUUUGUACCCACCCCAACAACAUGCUCAAGACAAGGCUGAUGGAAAAUGUUGCCAGUUUCAGUUUCCAGCAACAUGCUCAAGACAAGGCUGAUGGAGAAUGUUGCCAAUUUCAGUUUCCAUAGGGAGAAAUGGAGCCAUUAAGCCUUUGGAACAUGGUGCUUUUAUGUCUGAACAUGAAGCUCAAGAUUUUGGCAUCUGCAGCUCCUGGUUCUAACUUUCCUUUGCAAGCCCAGGGAACUAACUGCCCUUUGUCAUCAGAAGAGAUCAUUUCACUCCUUUAUUUCCUGAGGCCUUUUCAAGGUGAGUAGCCCUGGACACAGACCUCUCAUGGAGAAGAGCUUGCUUACAAAUGAAGUUACCUGGGUCUUUGUAGAUACUGAGCACGCCCUUGAAGUAAUGAGGUAAAAAUCUUUCCAGUAACAGC